rnacentral:rRNA from 1 species
UACGAAGGGGGCUAGCGUUGCUCGGAAUGACUGGGCGUAAAGGGCGCGUAGGCGGAUGGCACAGUCAGAUGUGAAAUUCCCGGGCUUAACCUGGGGGCUGCAUUUGAUACGUGUGAUCUAGAGUGAGGAAGAGGGUCGUGGAAUUCCCAGUGUAGAGGUGAAAUUCGUAGAUAUUGGGAAGAACACCGGUGGCGAAGGCGGGUCUCUGGGCCGUAACUGACGCUGAGACGCGAAAGCGUGGGGGAGCAAACAGG